UGCAUAGAACAUUUAUGGCGGA
rnacentral:siRNA from 1 species